rnacentral:tRNA from 1 species
GGGCCGUUAGCUCAAUCGGUAGAGCAUCUGACUCUUAAUCAGGGGGUUGAAGGUUCGAUUCCUUCACGGCCCACCA